GGCAUUCGCAGGGAAAUGGUCAGAACUUGAACAAAUAAUUCCAAGUGAGACAAGCCAAGAACAGAGACACAAAUGGCAUAUGGUCUUCCUGAUAUGUGGGUGUUAGAAUUAAAAUGCAAAGAGAUAGACCAAAGUAAACAGGUCUCAAGAUACCAAAACAUAGUAAGAAGCAAAGAGGACACAGAAUGAGUGGAAACUGUGUGAGAAUAGUAACAAUAAUAACAACAACAAUAAAAUAAAGAUGGAACCAUCCCUACAUCGGACACUGAGGAAAGGGAACCAAGCAUCUCAUGGGUGGGAUUGGGAAGGAAGGAAUGAAUGAAGCAGAGAACAGAUGUUGCUAAACAAAAGAAACGUAAAGUACAUAUCACCUGAAAUGGAGAAAGUGUCUGUAUUAUUAAAGAUCAUAGACUUCAU